GCGACCGUGGUCUAGCCUGGUCUAGGACGGGAGACUUAGAAUCAUCCAACCAACGGUGGGAGAAACCCGGGUUCGAAUCCCGGCGGUCGCACCA
rnacentral:tRNA from 1 species